UCUUAUGUACAUGCCUACAACGUUAAUGUAGUGGAUCCCAUUAGAACUCUACAGUUAAGCACACUUGGGAUAGAUUAGUACUCAGAUGGGUGACCUCCCAAGAAGUCCUAGUGUUUUACAUGCC
rfam:Picea glauca, whole genome shotgun sequence.